rnacentral:rRNA from 1 species
UGCAGUCGACGGAUCCUUCGGGAUUAGUGGCAGACGGGUGAGUAACGCGUGGGAAGCUACCUUGUGGUAGGGAACAACAGUUGGAAACGACUGCUAAUACCCUAUGAGCCCUAUGGGGGAAAGAUUUAUCGCCAUGAGAUGUGCCCGCGUUAGAUUAGCUAGUUGGUAAGGUAAUGGCUUACCAAGGCGACGAUCUAUAGCUGGUCUGAGAGGAUGAUCAGCCACACUGGGACUGAGACACGGCCCAGACUCCUACGGGAGGCAGCAGUGGGGAAUAUUGGACAAUGGGGGCAACCCUGAUCCAGCCAUGCCGCGUGAGUGAUGACGGCCUUAGGGUUGUAAAGCUCUUUCAGCAGUGAAGAUAAUGACAUUAACUGCAGAAGAAGCCCCGGCUAACUUCGUGCCAGCAGCCGCGGUAAUACGAAGGGGGCUAGCGUUGUUCGGAAUCACUGGGCGUAAAGCGUACGUAGGCGGACUGAUCAGUCAGGGGUGAAAUCCCGGGGCUCAACCCCGGAACUGCCUUUGAUACUGUCAGUCUUGAGAUCGAGAGAGGUGAGUGGAACUCCGAGUGUAGAGGUGAAAUUCGUAGAUAUUCGGAAGAACACCAGUGGCGAAGGCGGCUCACUGGCUCGAUACUGACGCUGAGGUACGAAAGCGUGGGGAGC